rnacentral:rRNA from 1 species
CAGCAGCCGCGGUAAUACGGGGGGAGCAAGCGUUGUUCGGAUUUACUGGGCGUAAAGGGCGCGUAGGCGGCGUGACAAGUCACUUGUGAAAUCUCCGGGCUUAACUCGGAACGGUCAAGUGAUACUGUCGUGCUAGAGUACAGAAGGGGCAACUGGAAUUCUCGGUGUAGCGGUGAAAUGCGUAGAUAUCGAGAGGAACACCUGCGGCGAAGGCGGGUUGCUGGGCUGAUACUGACGCUGAGGCGCGAAAGCCAGGGGAGCGAACGGGAUUAGAUACCCCGGUAGUCCUGGCCUUAAACGAUGAAUGCUUGGUGUCUCGGGUUAUAAAGUCCCGGGGUGCCGUCGCUAACGCUUUUAGCAUUCCGCCUGGGGAGUACGGUCGCAAGACUGAAACUCAAAGGAAUUGACGG